rnacentral:lncRNA from 1 species
AGUUAACAACGGCUAAAACACGCCGUUAAGUUUUCCGUCUAGUAAUAAAAAAAUGCUGAAAUCUAGUUGGGUUUCUGCGUUCAUCGUUCGCCUUUUUUCGUUCGUCGAUCUUCAUUUUUCAGUCAUUUUUCUUCUUCUUCGAUUCUUUUUCUUAUUCUUUUUUUCCUUCUUCUUUUUCUUCUUUGAUUCUUCUUCGAUUCUUCAAUUCUUUUUUAUUCUUUUUUUUAUUUUCUUCGAUUGUCCUUUUUCUUUGAUUCUUUGUUGAUUCUAUUUUCUUCUUCUUCGAUUCUUUUUUUUUUGAAUUUUUUUCAUCUUCAUUGAAGAAA